rnacentral:piRNA from 1 species
UCGCUCUCUGCACUCAACAAA